rnacentral:rRNA from 1 species
UGGGGAAUAUUGGACAAUGGGCGAAAGCCUGAUCCAGCAAUGCCGCGUGAGUGAUGAAGGCCUUAGGGUUGUAAAGCUCUUUUACCAGGGAUGAUAAUGACAGUACCUGGAGAAUAAGCUCCGGCUAACUCCGUGCCAGCAGCCGCGGUAAUACGGAGGGAGCUAGCGUUGUUCGGAAUUACUGGGCGUAAAGCGUACGUAGGCGGUUAUUCAAGUCAGAGGUGAAAGCCUGGAGCUCAACUCCAGAACUGCCUUUGAAACUAGAUAGCUAGAAUCUUGGAGAGGUGAGUGGAAUUCCGAGUGUAGAGGUGAAAUUCGUAGAUAUUCGGAAGAACACCAGUGGCGAAGGCGACUCACUGGACAAGUAUUGACGCUGAGGUACGAA